UGAGAAACUGCUCCGAGAAAUGAUUGCUAGAGGCUUAUUCUAAGAGUUAAACUUGGAGAUAGUUGGAUUCUAAGGAGCAGCUGCACUAAGGCAAUAUCUAUAGUAGAUGAGGACAGGUUAAUUAGCAAAAAUCACUAGUGUUUGUUCUUGUCAAUAAAAGCCAGGAGCCUAACAUUGAAGAUUUGAUGGUUAAAUUUUGCAAAUAUUCAAUAACCAGUAGAAUUUUUUUCAUCUAACAAUCAAAAUGAUUGUAUUGAAUUUCAGUAAAUUUUCCAUUUUGCAAGUGAUUUUUUAUUUCAAUUAC